GUAAGUUCGAUCACUUGAUAUCUUCAUGUCCUAAGAAAGUAAAAGGUUCUGCCCACUGGUAGAUUUGGGGUUACGAGUGGGCGGAACACACAUUAGCUCAAAACCCCAUUUUCAGCUCCCAGUUUCACCGUUUCACUGGAGCAGAACAGAAUUUAAUCGACUCUGAGUUACACAGUUAAACAUUCCCCUCAGGGAGUUAGAUCUGCCCGUGUUUGCGCACAUAACUCAUCAGACAGAGCUCGUCAGAUUUGUCACCUCAAGUAAUCAUAGGGAAACACUCACCUUUUUUAUGUUCCGCUCGCCGGACACCUCACUGAUUCUGGGCUUCCCCUAGCUAGAGGUACACAAUCCCCACUUAGACUGGGCAGGCCAGAGAGUAGCCAACUUGAACUACAGGAAGUAUUAAGCAAAAGCAAAGCCUUCACCUUGCCAAUCCACAGACAGACCUUGCGAUUGCGACAUCAAGCUACUCCCAGGCGCUACUCUGCCAUCAAGCCAGCUCUAUAACCUGUCCCAUCCAGAGCGCGCUGCUAUGGAGAAAUACAUUAAAGAAUCACUCGCAGCAGCCAUCAUUCGCCCUUGCUUCUCUCCAGUGGAGGGUAGGGUUUUUCUUCGUAGGCAAAAAGUACAGUUCAACACUCCUUCUCUCCUCUCGUUGCUGUGUCCGGAACUCUGGAACUCCGUAAUGUCACGUGUCUGUUUACUGCUUCUAGUGCUAAUUGUCUUUCAUAGAGUUUUCCCCUCUUCCUUGUAUAUAGCUUUGCUCAUUUUCAUAGUCGCACUAGUUUGCCCACACACUUGUAUAUAUCUCACAGCACUAGUAUUUUGCCACAUCCGUGUAAGUAGCCCUCAUUUCAUUAGUUUGCGUCUGUGGCGGGGUGUGGUCCGUGGCACAGCUGUGGGGGAUCUGACCACAGAGCUCAUGAUAUAAUUACAAAAAUAAUCAUCGACCUGCGGCCUUGGGUGUCCUGGUGCCACAUAUACUUAUGGACACCCUUAUGUUUGAACAUGGUGUUUGUUAUGGACAAACUCUGGUUUGCACAGUCAAGUAACAGAACACCGCUCAGGUUAAAGACCGACAGGUCGUUCCUCCCAGUCAGGCCCCUCCAGGUCUCACUGUCAUUGCCCACAAGUGCAUUGAAGUUUCCCAGGAGAAUGACAGAGUCCCCAGGUCAAGUGCCCUCAAGCUCCUCACCCAGGGACUCCAAGAAGACUGGGUACUUUAAACUGUCGUUUGGUGCAUAGGUGCAGAUGACAGUAAGAACCAGUAUCUUGACUCAAAAGCACAGGAAACAAAUCCUCUUGUCCACUGGAAAAAAAAAAAAAAAUCUCCAUCAUACACGUCGAGGGAUACUAAGGUACCCGGCCCGCCAUCUCUCACCAAGAGCGACUCCAGACUGAGACAGAGUCCAGACCUUCUUCCAGGAUACUUGUUCCAGAGCCCACCCCCACCCCCCCCCUUCCCUAAAAUUUUACCUUAUCAUGGUGGAGGGUUGGUCUGUCCUAGAGAUCCCAGGGGCAAUUUUGUUUUUGUUCAGGGAUUUUUGACCCCUGGUGGGGUCUCGCAUGGCAAAUUGGUCCUUGGUGAGUAACGAAAAUCUAUGGAACAGUUCACCCUGCCCAGGAUAGGGUACAUUGGUCCCACCCUGGAGCCAGCCCUGGGGAGGGUGACCGAGGGUUUGCACCUGCUGGCCGGGCCUUAGUCAAUGGGGCCAGGCUUUGCACCACCCAAACAGGGGACAUGAGCCCAUCCUCCUGUAGGCCCACCACCCCCAGAAGGUGCCUUGGAGGUCAUGUGCAGUGUUUGUCAGGUGGCAGACCCUGGUGGACUGAUCCCCAUCUACACAGGAACAUCACAUCUCUGAAUCAAAAACAAUUACUUUUACCUUUUUACACUUUUUACAGAGAAUUGAGAAACUUGGUUUAUUAAAAAUAGAAAGAGGAUAAUUCUUGAAAAUCCCAGGGAUUUAGGUAUUCAGGCUCUGGUAAAUACUUUGUGGUUUAACCAUGGUGCUGACAGAGUUAGAAAAAAAGAAAAAAGAGUAAAUAUUUGACACAACUGUGUAGCCUUGGACAGGUCACUGCAUGAGAAGAUGAGGUGUGGGAUUUAUCGUCCAGUUUAGGUUUUGGAACUUAAUUACUUUUCCAAGUUUAAGGUUCACCAACAGUUACAACAACAACAACCUUUAUUUGUCACAUACAUAAUUAUACAGAGUACAACAUGUAGUGAAAUGCUUGUGUCCGAGCUGCGGAGAGGCUGCAGACAUAGCUGCGCCAUUCCAGGGUUUGGUUUUAAGCAUGGGGGUCUAGCCAGGACCCUUACUGGAAUCGAACUUGUGACUCCCGCUACAAAGGUGUGUAGUCUUACUACUACAGAAGUAGUUGAUGGCCCGUACGGGGAUCGAACCCGCGACCUUGGCGUUAUUAGCGCCACGCUCUAACCAACUGAGCUAACCGGCCAUGUUUCCAAACCAGCCAGGCCAUGUUACUAUUCUAUACAGUUACUAUAGUGACUGUAGUUACUAUUUAUUUGCAUGAAUACUGUGUACUGAUACUGCCAUAUUUUACAUGCUUGGUGUGUUUCUAAUACAUUUUUAUGAAACUUUAAGCAUUUAGUGCAAUUUCAUAUUCAGCCUUAUGAUUUAGUUUUCAAAACAGGUGGUAUAUUUUAAAUUUUUUGUAUUUUCAGUCACGUUUGUGUCCACCACCUUCACUCUGCCUUUAAAGUUAGCUGAGAAGGAACCAAGGUACAGAGGGGAACACUGGACAGAAUCACAAAUCCUAAAAACAAGUUUGCACAACAGGGUAUUAGGCAUGCAAUAAAUUAAAAAAAAAGUACGUUACACUGUAGAAAAUGAUGGGCCAACUCAUGUCCUGUGCAACAUAUUUAUUUUUGCAGAAACUGCAAAAACAAAGAAACAGCAGGUUAACAGGAGUUACUCAGUGCAGCGCUGUACAGUCUCACUACACCUCUUUUAGCGACGUGUCAUGUGUGCAUAACACACCGAGUGCCCUCUAGUGGCUAAACUUAUAUCACAGCAAAAUAGACAUUAACAGUAGUCUUUCAAAAAAAAGUGAUUUUAAGCAUAAAAAUAAAAUGGGGGGCUACUAUUUUCAUCUAUUCAUCUUUAUCAUAGUGCCACAUACAUUUUGAGAAUGAAUUUGAAAUAACAUUAAAGUUGCCGUUUCAAGUCAAACAACUUGCACGACUGCCUUACCCUCUACAAAAUGCCUAGUUUAGAUGAGUUAGUGAAACAAUUUUAGCAUCACUCCAUGAUCCCAAACACACUGCCAAUGCAGUACCAGAAAUAAGAAGUGCUCUUGUAAACAGUGUAAAAAGUGUAGAGAAUAGUGUAGUAAAAAGAGAAUAAUAGAAACUGUUAUCAUUUCUUAAGAGAGUACCACAACAGACAACACUAUGAGACUCAGUAUUUCUCAGCUACAACUCACUCUGCAGAAGUCUGAGUAACACAGAAAUCUCUUUAUCCAGUCCGUUACUGCAAACUUAAGUCUAGGGAAUAGAAAAAUACCUUUGCAGAGCAGCAACAAGGGGAAUCUUCCCACCCUUAAUUGGGGCUGCUCUAUUAUGGCAAAAAUGAUAAUCACGAUUAUUUUCACUGAAAUUGAGAUCUCGAUUAUAUGACGAUAUUUAUUUAACAAUAACAAUGUAUUGAAUAAUGGCUUAAAAGAUUGUCAAAAAAAUAAUACAAAAUAGUGUGCAAAUACUUAUUACAGUGGAAAUGUUUGCAAUAUAAAAAAUAAAUGAAAAAUGUAAACAUCUAUGUUUUGUGAACUUCAAAAUACUGCACAAUAUUUGAUCCACGUCUGACUCCGCGAACCCAUAAUGUUUCCACACCACUGAAGUCGUUUUACCUCUCUUUUCAACCAAUGGCAUUCUUUCUUCAGCAGCCAUUAUCCUCUCCUCUACAAAUAACUUCUGCUUAGCUUUCCGAGCUUUCCGAGCUUCCCUCGGGUCCUCUUAAUUGUGACGCGUGUUCGAAACGCAGAGAGGUGCGCUCGAUUUGCCACACGGAGCAGCACGAGGGAGGUGCUAAUAAUCGGUUAAGUCAUUUUUAAUGAUCGUUGAAAGCCCAGAUCGUAAUCUAGAUUAAAAUUCGAUUAAUUGAGCAGCCCUACCCUUAAUAUCAGUAUCAGUGCCCCAGGGAGCUCCAGACCGAGGCCUAUCCACACACACAGACAUUGUGGAAAGACACACAUCCACAUCCACCCCACCCUCUAAAGCAGGGGUCCCCAAUCCCAGUCCACAAGGGCCGGUGUCCCUGCAGGUUUUAGAUGUGUCCAUCAAAGCUGAUUUAAAUGGAUAAAUUACCUCCUCAGCAUGUCUUGAGGCCUGGUAAUGAACUAAUCAUAUAUAAUUCAGGUGUGUUGACCCAGGGUGAGAUCUAAAACCUGGAGGGACACCGGCUGGGAUUGGGGACCCCUGCCCAAUCCCAGUCCACGAGGCCCCUGCCCCCAGGAGCGCGCUCCCCCGACGGACGUAAACAAACAUACAGAGAGAAACAAAAGGGAGAGGGAGAGAAAACACGAUAUCGUGGGCCGGCCGAGGACCGUCGGACCUUGACAAUAUCACAUUAGUACCUGAAGCAGAGAGGACCAAUUAUCACAGAUAUAAGUUAAACUGCAGUUUCAUAUACAUUUAUAAUUUACAGAGUACCUAAAAUAGUACUUUCCUACUGGCACAAGGUGGGGCUAUGAACCAAAUGAUAUGUGAACUGCUGUGAAGAGAGACACAUACACUAAUCAGGUACGCCUUGCCAGUAUAGGAUUGCACCCCCUUUUGCCUUCGGAAUUUGAGUGCAGUGAACUUAUCACCAGCUUUUGAUGAAAGAACAUAUGCUGAAGCUCACAGUACUUUUCCAUAUUAUUGCAAAUCUGUGAGAUGAUCUUAAAAAUACUGUUCUUCCUUAAACUGUGUAAUCAGUGCAUGCCUCCUGUCACAGUAAAGCCAUUCAUUAACUGCACAAUUAAAGACUCCAAAAUGUGAAUUUAGAAGAUUUUGCUCUCUGCAACAACAUACUCUGCUGCACACAUGAAACUUUUAUUGUUUUCAUGUCAAAACCACAUAAUCUUGAGACAAGAUUUGAAGGUCAUUUCUCUCUGUUGAAUCUCCUCAUCUUGCCACUGUGCUGUGAUCUUGAUUCUGUUAUCUUCACAAAAGAUGUAUUCUUGUUUGGGUUUUCCCAUUCACAGUUUCCUGUUUGCUGGCAUGGGUGCUGUGGUGCUCUGCUCAUGCUGCACCAGGGGUGUGUCAACCUGCAAAAUUCUUUCCUUACUGCACACCCCCAUUGGCCUCAACAUUGCUUGUCUCUAUUUCAGCAGAUUCCCAGUCCCUCCCUUUUUCCCCUCCUCUCCUGUCCUUUUAGGUUUCCCGGAAUUGUUGCCAAUUGGUUCAGUUGGUUUUCACCUGUUAUCCUUUCACCUGUUUGAAUGAUGAGCAAACACCGAAACUGCCCUCUGCACACACCAAGAAAUGCCCUUAACAUUUUUUGUAUUUAUUCUUUAUUACUUUUGAUUUCAACCCAGCAGUUAUGAGAAGUCAUGUGACUACAGAUUAGCAGUCGUCGUUAUUUUAUACACUUUUAUUUUGAGUUAAUCCCUGUUAGUGCUGCAGAGAGUCAAGGUUUAUUUAUUUAUUUUAUGACUUUAUUGGUUUCAUCACACUACUUUUGGAACCUUGCACCAUGUAGUCAAAGUUGAGAAAAGUACCUGAUCUACAGAUCAGAGACUCUGGGUGAUUUACUUGGAGAUUUAGUGGGCUUGUUGUGUUGCUUUCACCAUUGUGGUGUUCUGAAUGUGAAUCAAACUGGAUGUUAAAAUGUCUUAUUUUUUAUAUGGUUAUACAACAGCACUGAUGAAUUCACUCAUAGCCAUCAUUUGGCACAAGCUGGAUGUGAAGCAGCCAAAAAAAAAAAAAAGUAAACUAAACAAACAUUGUUCUGGUUACAUAUCAAACUGAUGAGGGUGUGUUAGGUAGUUUCCAGUAUUCAUCUGAACAACAUUUGAAAUCAUGCUUUUAAUAAGGAGAUUCAUUUCUACACCGAAUAAUGGACAUUGUGGUGAACAUCAUUUACAUGCUUAACCUUUAUUUGAACUUUUAGGUUUACAGAUUAAACCCAACUCAAUUUAGCAUGAUAGUUCCCCAUCUUAAACGUCCUAUUUUUGCACCCAUCCCGACCUGUCUGUGAUAACUAGAAGUGAACAAAGCUGCCUGUCAAAGUCUGGGUCUUCGUAUGAUAAGUUAAAGUCAUAGUCAACUUUUCUUUUAUAAUGUCUUUUAGUUCAUCCACAGAUUCUGGGUGUGAGAAUAAAGUCAGUUUUCUCACAAUUUCUUUGGAGACAUGAACAUGAAGUAAUAGGAAUUCAGAGAACAUUCCCUAAAGUUAGAAAAGAAAAGAGAAGAGUCGUUACUUUUUGGGGGGGUUUCACCCUGAUCUAUUUGGUUGCAUGUGGCUUAUUCCAAAAGCAAUAUUAAUCUUACCAGUGUCUGAUCAAAAUGAAUCUUUUUUUGUGUCAACAACAGAUGUCCAUCAACAGCAUAGUAUAUAACAGGAACAUGCAAACAUAAAUGUUGAAAAAAGUCUAAACGUGAGCAUGAACAUGAAUCUGAGCAAUAGCAGAAAUUCUGUGACCUAAUGUGACUUUGACAUUAAGAUCUGUUAUCUGUUUGAUAACUAUUCUUUCAAGAAUUUUUCAUAUGAAAGGAAGGUUAGAGAUUGGCCUAUAAUUAUCUAAGACCACUGGGUCAAGAAAUGGCUUUUGAAGUAACGGUUUAACUGCUGCCAGCUUGAAGGCCUGUAGUGCUGAUAGUUAGUUUUACUCGGUGUUGAUUCAUUUAAACGAACAUAAUUAUCCUGCAGUAACAAGGUUUCUGUAAGGCUCAGUAAAUCAGUUUGUUGAUCAAUUAUUAACACGUGUACUAACAGAGUCUUGGAAGAGAGAGAACUACGGUUUAUUUAUCCACAUUUUACUGUUUUACUAUUUGGUGUAGAUGUGGAUAUUGUAUUGUUCUUUAUUUGUGAUUUGUCAUGUUUAAGUCUGUUUUUUGCUGGUUUUUAGUUUGUUUUUUGUCUGUUUGGGAGCUGACACAGUCUCUAAGGGGAUAGGGUUUGGGGGGGAUAACAGGAGGACAGAAGCUGCAGAGAGGCGUGUAAGACUGCAACUCUGCUUCCUGGUCCCAACUCUGGAUAGUCAUAUUUUGAGGAAGUUUAAUAAAUUAGGCCAGAUUUCUAGAAAUGAGAGCUGCUCCAUCCAAAGUGGGAUGGAUGCUGUCUGUCCUAACAAGACCAGGUUUCCUCCAGAAAGUUUCCCAAUUACCUAUAAAGCCCACAUAAUUUUUUGGACACCACUCAGACAGACAGCAAUUUAAGGAGAACAUGCGGCUAAACAUAUCACUCUCGGCUAAUCACUGUUAGUAUGUGUCAGGUUUCUCAGUAGGCAGGGCAGAGCAAAAUGAAGAAAUUGCUACGCCAAAGCAACCCACUCAGCUACCCAGUGACUGAAAUAGCAAUACACCAUCCCAGUGAAUACUGGGUAAUUACCCCAAAUGUGUAUUUGGUGGUACAACAUUAAGAUCAUUUAAUCCUCCAUGGUACUGCACUCGACUGUGGCUGGAGUACUCAGUUGUAUAGGAUACAUGCUUCUGUUUCCCCUGUCGGAAAUAUUGCAGCACUGUCAAAAGCAGCACUUGAUCAAGACAAGGGGCUACAGAGACAAAGUGCAAUCCAUUACAUAAAAAAUACUUAUACAGUGCACCCCACUCCUUUCUCGCCUCCAUUGUUACCAUGUGCCUCUUUUGCAUUUCUGUUUGCCCACUCAUCAAUGCAUCUCUAGAAUCGGCCCAGACAGAUGGUCUCUACAUGCAUGGUUCCCAGCAUGAAGGGGGAAGUGUGAUGGUGUGGGGGUGCUUUGUUUUCGACACUGUUGGGGAUUUAUUCAAAAUUGAAGCCACACUACUAGCACACUACUAGCAACUAGCAUGACUACCACAGCAUCCUGCAGCAACAUGCCAUCCUAUCUGGUUUGCGUUUAGUCGGACCAUCAUUAAAUGCAAAUUAUAAGUCUGUAUCAUAACAUCUGGUCUAAUAACCAGCUGUUGAGUUAAUUAUUAGGUAUGCCCUCACUGUCAUUUGUUAUGCUUUUAUUUUGUAAGGAUGCUUCCUGUUGUGCACGGAGUAUGCGCGAGUUAAUAAAAACAAUGGCACCCUUUGGUGUGAAUGUUCCGGUGAAAGCCGAUGCCCCACGUGUGAUUAUUCCUCCGUCUAGAUAAUAAGUAUCUUCAAUAUUCAUGCAGAUUCCGCUGGAAGACCCGUCUCUGCUAACAGGUUAUGGGCCCAGUAACCAGUGUUGGAAUAUUUUCUCUGUGAGAGCGGCCACCGCGAAUGGAGCUACUAUCAUCUUUAAGAAAGGAAGGAACGUCCUUCAACACAUCCACAUCUACAUCCAUGAGCACAACAGACUUUAUUACCUUGAAACUGUAAGUGAGUAUGAUGAUAAGUGUAAUAAUUGUUUUGAUGUGCAGACAUGGCACGAAAUUUUGGGACAUUGCAAUCAUAGUGACAUUCUGAAGUUACAAAAUGUGGUUGAAGGUAUGAAAAUCAAGGGGAAAACAGACAACCAAAGUUUGAACUGUGAGGUGUGUAUCCAGGGAAAAUUUGUCCAGACUAGGAAUAGAAACCCUGACAGAAGAGCCGAGAAACCUCUCGAGCUGGUACAUACGGAUCUAGCAGGGCCGAUAGAUCCAGAGUCACGAGAUGGACACAGAUAUGCAUUAUUGUUUACCGAUGACUUUUCCGGUGCAGUAUUUGUAUAUUUUCUCAAAAACAAAGGUGAAACAAUGCAAGCAACUGAGAUCUUUUUGGCCGAUACAGCCCCACACGGGAAGGUAAAGUGUAUCAGGUCAGACAACGGCACAGAGUUCAUGGCAAAGAGUUACCAGGCAUUGUUAAACAAACACGGAAUAAGACAUGAAACUUCAGCCCCAUAUUCCCCUCACCAGAAUGGUACAGCAGAACGCGGCUGGAGAACACUUUUUGAUAUGGGAAGGUGCAUGCUUAUUGAGAGUGCCGUACCAAAGGAACUAUGGACGUAUGCAGUUCAAACAGCGGCUAUUGUGAGGAACAGGUGCUUUAACAACAGGACAGGACAGACACCUUACUUUUUGCUGACUGGGCGAAAGCCUAAUCUAUCCAGAAUGCGAAAGUUUGGGUGUGAGUGUUAUGCUUACAAGCAAGACAAGGGUAAGCUGCAUUCUAGGUGUACAAAAGGGAUUUUUGUAGGCUACGACAAAAACAGUCCAGCAUACAAGGUUUAUUUCCCAGACAGCGCUAAAGUGCAAAAGUUUAGGCUGGUUAAGUUUGUAACCAAACACAAUGAGGAAAAGCAAACACAAACUGAUACGACAUCUGAGGAUGAGGACAUACAGGUGUGGGAGAGACCAAACAUGAACAGGGAAAGUCCCAGUACCAGUUCACAGGAACCAGGUACUGACAACCAACCAGAAGUGAACAGUCAGAUGCCACUUAGUGAUGAGACUGAAAACUCCAGAAGGUAUCCUUCUAGAACAAGAAAGAAACCAGAUUAUCUAAAUGAAUAUGAGUCAGGAGAAGACAUUGAUGAUCAAGUGCUGACUAACAUAGACUACUGUUACAGACUGAUAAGUAACUCACCCGUGACAUUCAGUGAAGCUGUAAAGUCACCCAACUCUAAAGAGUGGAAAGCAGCUAUGGAUGAGGAAAUGCAAUCCUUAAAAGAGAACAACACCUUUACCCUAACAAGCUUACCUGAGGGAAAGAAAGCAGUGGGGGGUAGAUGGGUCUAUGUGAAGUAAAACAGUGGUGAUGGAUCAGAAAAAUAUAAAGCACGGUACGUAGCUAAAGGUUACAACCAGUGUUUUGGAAUAGACUAUGACGAAACUUUUUCUCCGACUGCUAACCUGACAAGCAUAAGAGUAUUGAUGCAGUGUGCGAUGCAAGAAAACCUGAUUUUGCAUCAGAUGGAUGUAAAAACUGCAUACUUGCAUGCACCAAUAGACUUUGAAGUUUACGUUGAGCAGCCGGAAGGCUAUGAAGUAAAAGGGAAAACGAAUGAGAAACUGGUCUAUAAGCUGGAAAAGUCACUUUAUGGGCUUAAACAGUCAGGCCGAAACUGGAACAGGACAUUACAUGACUAUUUGAUAGAGAAUGGUUUCAUGCAGAGUCCUGUAGAUCAUUGUGUUUACACAAGGAAAACAAGAAAAGACAAAGUGAUCAUGAUCAUAUGGGUUGAUGAUAUUAUUAUUGCAGCCAGUGAUGAAAGUGUUUUGAAAACUGUGAAGGGAAUGCUAACUGCAAGGUUCAAAAUGAAAGAUAUGGGGAAACUCAAACAUUUUCUUGGUAUUGAUUUUGAGCAAACCAAAGACUGUGUAAAAAUGUCACAAGAGAGAUAUGUAGAAAACAUACUGGAAAGAUUUCAAAUGCAAGACUGUAAACCAAGAUCAACUCCUUGUGAACAAAAGUUGAACUACAAUGAUGAUGCUGAGAAAAUGAAAAAUGUCAGAAUGUACAGAGAGGCAGUAGGUAGCCUUAUUUACUUGACCUCUUGCACAUGACCGGAUUUGAGUUUUGUUGUGAGUAAGCUGUCACAGCACUUCAAAGAGCCAACUGUGGAACAUUGGACUACUGUUAAACAUGUUCUAAGGUAUUUGAAACAAUCAAAAGACAAGACAUUGUGCUACAGGAAAAGUGACAAAGAUUUGAGAGUACAAGGUCACAGUGACUCAGACUGGGCUGCAGAUGUGACUGACAGGAGGAGUACUACAGGUUACUGCAUAAGCCUGAAUGAAGAAGGUACUUUGGUGUCUUGGCGAACAAAGAAGCAGCCAACUGUUGCCUUGUCAACUUGUGAAGCAGAGUACAUAUCUUUGGCAGCAACAACACAAGAAUGUCUGUACUUGACACAACUGUUGCAAAGCAUGUAUGAGCAUCAAAAGGGACCACCAAAGAUUUUUGAGGACAAUCAAGGGACUAUCGCAUUGGCAAAGAAUCCUGUUAACAGACAGAGGUGUAAGCAUAUCGAUAUCAAGUAUCAUUUUGUAAGAUCAACAGUUAAUGCUGGAAAUUUGAUAUUGGAAUAUUGUUCGACAGGUCUGAUGGUGGCCGAUGUUAUGACAAAGCCAGCAACAAAGGGGAAAUUGUUGAAGUUUGAGAAAUAUAUGUUUGGAGUGUAAACAAAUAGUAAAGAAAAACUGUUUCUGUUGGAAUGUAUGCAAAACUGACAACGUGAGUGCAAGUGGGGGUGUUGAGUUAAUUAUUAGGUAUGCCCUCACUGUCAUUUGUUAUGCUUUUAUUUUGUAAGGAUGCUUCCUGUUGUGCACGGAGUAUGCGCGAGUUAAUAAAAACAAUGGCACCCUUUGGUGUGAAUGUUCCGGUGAAAGCCGAUGCCCCACGUGUGAUUAUUCCUCCGUCUAGAUAAUAAGUAUCUUCAAUAUUCAUGCAGAUUCCGCUGGAAGACCCGUCUCUGCUAACACCAGCUGUUUGCGAGCUGGUUAUUAGAUGCCCUUCAGCCAGCCAGAGAAUCCCCUACCGCCCUGCCCUCUCCUCCCUGUGCCGCAAGCAGCAGGCGUACCUCGCAAACAGACGGCGCCCUUACUCCUCGCAAAUGGGCGAUAGAAAACCGAUCGGUGCUCAUGCAAUCCCAAAAAUGCGCUGGCAUGAUGUCGUUGCAGCAUGGGUGCAAUCAACUUUUUUUUGAUGGCCCGUGAUGCCCCCCCCCCCCCACACACACACACGAUGCCGCCCUGGGCAACGACCCAGGUCGCCCAUAUCAAAAACCACUACGGUUCAGGUGAACUACUUUGGGAUGAGAUUGAUCGUAGAGUUAAGGGACAAGAGCCAACAAGUUCCCAGCAUUUCUGGGAACUGCUUCAAGACUGUUGGAAAACUAUUUUAGGUGACUACCUUCUGAAGCUCAAAGGGCCCCUACUUGGAAGAAUCUAAAAUAUAAAACACAUUUUGAGUUAUUUCACAUUUUUUGGUUACCACAUAAUUCCAUAUGUGUUCAUCUACAAUGUAAAUACUCAUGGAAAUAAAGAAAAAACAUGAAAUAAGAAGGUGUGUCCAAACGUUUGAUUGGUGUCGUACACUGAAUUUGAUAAGGAGUGAUUAAACAACUGAAACUAUCUUCCCUACUUACCCAUGUCUUUGUACUUACCGUGUACAUUUUAACACAGUAACAAUACAAAAGAAGACAGGAAUGCUUUCACUUCGUUUUUUAAAAAGAUGUUAAUAAUGGCUUGAAUAUCAUCAUAACCGAAAAAUCCCAAUGAUGACACGUUAGCGUUUUAUUUCCUUGUUAAAACGUAACAACGAACUGACAACAGCCUGCCUCCAACCCCGAGUGGGA
ensembl:lncRNA